UGUUGGCUUAGAAGCAGCCAUCAUUUAAAGAAAGCGUAAUAGCUCACUGGUCGAGUCGGCCUGCGCGGAAGAUGUAACGGGGCUAAACCAUGCACCGAAGCUGCGGCAGCGACGCUGAUGCGUUGUUAGGUAGGGGAGCGUUCUGUAAGCCUGCGAAGGUGACCUGUGAGGGUUGCUGGAGGUAUCAGAAGUGCGAAUGCUGACAUAAGUAACGAUAAAGCGGGUGAAAAGCCCGCUCGCCGGAAGACCAAGGGUUCCUGUCCAACGUUAAUCGGGGCAGGGUGAGUCG
rnacentral:rRNA from 1 species